CAUGCAGUUCGAACGGCAGCACGGGCUUCGGCCUGGUGGCGAGUGGCGAACGGGUGAGUAAUACAUCGGAACGUACCCAGAAGUGGGGGAUAACGCAGCGAAAGUUGCGCUAAUACCGCAUACGUUCUACGGAAGAAAGUGGGGGAUCUUCGGACCUCAUGCUUUUGGAGCGGCCGAUGUCUGAUUAGCUAGUUGGUAGGGUAAAGGCCUACCAAGGCGACGAUCAGUAGCUGGUCUGAGAGGACGACCAGCCACACUGGAACUGAGACACGGUCCAGACUCCUACGGGAGGCAGCAGUGGGGAAUUUUGGACAAUGGGCGCAAGCCUGAUCCAGCAAUGCCGCGUGAGUGAAGAAGGCCUUCGGGUUGUAAAGCUCUUUUGUCAGGGAAGAAACGGUUGGGGCUAAUAUCCCCGGCUAAUGACGGUACCUGAAGAAUAAGCACCGGCUAACUACGUGCCAGCAGCCGCGGUAAUACGUAGGGUGCAAGCGUUAAUCGGAAUUACUGGGCGUAAAGCGUGCGCAGGCGGUUUUGUAAGUCUGUCGUGAAAGCCCCGGGCUCAACCUGGGAAUUGCGAUGGAGACUGCAAGGCUUGAAUCUGGCAGAGGGGGGUAGAAUUCCACGUGUAGCAGUGAAAUGCGUAGAGAUGUGGAGGAACACCGAUGGCGAAGGCAGCCCCCUGGGUCAAGAUUGACGCUCAUGCACGAAAGCGUGGGGAGCAAACAGGAUUAGAUACCCUGGUGGUCCACGCCCUAAACGAUGUCUACUAUUGUCGGGUUUUAAUUAACUUGGUAACGCAGCUAACGCGUGAAGUAGACCGCCUG
rnacentral:rRNA from 1 species